UACAGAGGUCUCAAGCGUUGUUCGGAUUCAUUGGGCGUAAAGGGUGCGUAGGCGGUCGUGCAAGUCGGAUGUGAAAUCUCAGGGCUCAACCCUGAAACUGCAUUCGAUACUGCGUGGCUAGAGUGCUGGAGAGGAGACUGGAAUUUACGGUGUAGCAGUGAAAUGCGUAGAUAUCGUAAGGAAGACCAGUGGCGAAGGCGAGUCUCUGGACAGCAACUGACGCUGAGGCACGAAGGCCAGGGGGAGCAAACGGGG
rnacentral:rRNA from 1 species